UACGUAGGGGGGCGAGCGUUGUUCGGAUUCAUUGGGCGUAAAGGGUGCGUAGGCGGCGCGGUAAGUCGGGUGUGAAAUCUCGGGGCUUAACUCCGAAACUGCAUUCGAUACUGCCGUGCUUGAGGACUGGAGAGGAGACUGGAAUUUACGGUGUAGCGGUGAAAUGCGUAGAUAUCGUAAGGAAGACCAGUGGCGAAGGCGGGUCUCUGGACAGUUCCUGACGCUGAGGCACGAAGGCCAGGGGAGCAAACGGG
rnacentral:rRNA from 1 species